AGGGGUUGUUCCCUCAGCAACGGCAGAGGAGGAGCAGGAGGGGGUGGGGAGGAAGGAGUGGGGAAGGAGGCGCGGCGGCUCCAGAGUGCACGAGGAAAAUUCCGCGAGAGGCGGGCUCGGGGCGGAGCGCUUGGGAUCGCGCGCUGGCGUGAGGGCGCUACAACGGGCUCUAGGCGCUUCUCCCGCCGUCGCCGCGCCCGUGCUCGCCACCUUUCCGCUACAGCCACAGCGACUCGCCCUUCGCCCCGGCCAUGCACGCCGUCCACUGCCCGGCGGUGUUGCUGUGGCUGGACGUGCACCGCCGCGCCCGGCCCCUGCGGCGCCGCGACGCGGCGCGCGACCUGCUCCGGCGCCACCAGCACCGCCAGCCCCUCCCUCCCCUCGUCGACCUCCGGCACGCGGCGCGGCACCGGCGCCUCCGGUUGCUCCGGCCCCUCUGCGGCGAGGACCGGCGGCGCCUCUUCCCCGUGGACCUCCACCACCACCUCGACGAGGCCGUAGACCUGAGGGUCCCGCAGCGGCGCUUUUUGUCCAGCCCCAUACUGCGCGACGUGCAGCGCCGGUCUCUUCCCGUAGUACGACAACACGUCCUUUACAAUGCAGUGCUAUCCUACAAACGGUUUUGUAAACCGGGACGUUUAUGAUGGGGCGAAUAUAGUCGUCGAUGUUCCCCUGUACGACUUCAACAGUUUAACAAUGAACUUGUUCUACUAAAACCUAACCCUCUUUACCGGUUUCUAUUACCGUUUUUACGAAAUGUAAAACGACGAGCUGUCCCUGUAUACCUUUAACAAUUUCGUAAUGAACUCUUUCUAGGUGUCGAUCGUUCUGCUUUACUAUUCUUUCCAGUUUGCCGUGACGUAUACCGACACUUUCCUUGAUUGACACUACAAGAAUCUCGUGAACAACUACGACUAGGUCGUUAACAUUACGACGGGCUGUUUUUACCUUUGUGACGGAACGUACAUCGUUGUUCCUUUUUCGCUCGUCUCUAUCAAUAACAAGAAAACGCCGAUGGUCUAUGGGUACAGUUACGUGACUUGUCUCUAGUGUUCUGACGAAAACUAUAUCGACUUCCCAACGGUGUAACACUCCUCAGCAGACUUUAAUUCCUAUAAAAUAGAGUUGUACCGCGAGAGUCUAGAUCUCUCGAUUUAGUCGGAGCUCUACUCGAGGCCUUCUGUCACUGUCUCUAGUUCUUUCUACAGGUGUGUGUCGAGCUUGUCUGUUCUUUUUGAUUGUUUUUACACGUACCGUAACGAUUCCUUGAGUCUUUCAACGUGUCUCUUCCGUAGUUAUUACGUUGCUUGAGACAUUGACAACAACGACACGAAAAACGAUGGCAACGAAAGCGUCGAUAUAAGUGACAUGGACCACCUUUACUGUUGUUACCUCAACGCUAACAACAGGUCUGACGGAGGAAAUCCUAUAAGAAGUAGAAAUUACGGUAUCGAGACAAGUGUAGUAACCGCCACCAGCACCAAGUUUAUUGUCAACAGUCCCCACUUUGUUUCAGGCUCGCUUUCCAACAACUCCACUAGUUGUUCGAAUACACCGACCGUAGUCAAACGUGUUGGUAAAGAAAGUAACGGAGUACGAUAUAACACGAUCCGGCGGUAAAGGUUACCCGUCGUUAUGACCAAUCAAAUUAUCCACCACAAUGUUACUGACCACAAGAACCUUGUUACUGCAUGAAACACCACUUUAGUUUCGCGUACUCCUUCUAAUCUUUUUUUCUCUUCUACAGCUCUUCUUCGCCGAGUUCGAGGACCCAACUAUUAUGACUUUAGAGUCUCUGACUCGAAUUAGUUCACAUACGGAACAUUUCUCUAUCCCACAAACUUGAGUCGGAACGGAGACGUUAACUCUUACAUGUACGAAUUAGUUCACAUACGAAACAUUCUGUGUCCCACAAACUUGAGUCGGAGUAUAGACCUUAGCUCUUACAUGUACUUUUAAGGUCUACGCGCGUAAUUGUUUAUCUAAUGAGUGUAAUAAGGAACUAACAUGUUAAGGAAAGACAUUACUGUUUGUUACGUAUGGAUUUUCCCUCCGGGUAACAGAUUCCGAGUACGUCAAC
rnacentral:rRNA from 1 species